rnacentral:rRNA from 1 species
AGCGAACGCUGGCGGCAGGCUUAACACAUGCAAGUCGAGCGGGCGUAGCAAUACGUCAGCGGCAGACGGGUGAGUAACGCGUGGGAACGUACCUUUUGGUUCGGAACAACACAGGGAAACUUGUGCUAAUACCGGAUAAGCCCUUACGGGGAAAGAUUUAUCGCCGAAAGAUCGGCCCGCGUCUGAUUAGCUAGUUGGUGAGGUAACGGCUCACCAAGGCGACGAUCAGUAGCUGGUCUGAGAGGAUGAUCAGCCACAUUGGGACUGAGACACGGCCCAAACUCCUACGGGAGGCAGCAGUGGGGAAUAUUGGACAAUGGGCGCAAGCCUGAUCCAGCCAUGCCGCGUGAGUGAUGAAGGCCCUAGGGUUGUAAAGCUCUUUUGUGCGGGAAGAUAAUGACGGUACCGCAAGAAUAAGCCCCGGCUAACUUCGUGCCAGCAGCCGCCGUAAAAC